GCUGCCGCGCGGCGUGCGCUGUGCGCACGCGCACUAGGCCCGAGCCCCUGCGUGCGGUGCUGCUGGCUCUUGGCAGGUGGCAGCUCGGCCGUUAAACCGGAGCCGCGCGGAGCAGCCCCGCCCCCGUGCGUCGCGGGCCGCGCGGGCCCGGCAGAGGGAAAAUCGUCCCACUUCUGAAAUCCAUGGCUGUGAUGGUGAGACUGGUGUUUCUGAUGGAGACAUUCAAAAUGCCUGUAACUCAUGGGGAUCGGCCUUUCGUUUCAGUUUCUGUUACCAAGAAUUAAAUGGCUUCAGCCCAGCCCUAUGGGCAUGAGUCUGUAGCGCCCUCUAGCUUUGAAGGAUAGAUCAUUCACAGAAGGGAAUGUUACGGUGGACUGUGCACUUGGAAGGUGGGCCUCGGAGAGUGAACCACGCUGCUGUGGCUGUUGGCCAUAAAGUAUAUUCCUUUGGCGGGUAUUGUUCUGGUGAAGACUAUGAGACUCUGCGGCAGAUUGAUGUCCACGUAUUUAAUGCAGUGUCUCUGCGCUGGACCAAGCUGCCGCCAGUGUGGACAAACAGCCGGGACCACGUGAGGGAGGUGCCCUAUAUGAGGUAUGGGCAUUCAGCUGUGCUGAUUGACGAUACCAUCUACAUAUGGGGAGGCCGUAACGACACUGAGGGAGCCUGCAAUGUUCUCUACGCCUUUGAUGUCAACAAUCACAAAUGGUUCACGCCCAAGGUCUCUGGAAUGGUCCCAGGAGCGAGAGAUGGGCACUCGGCUUGUGUCCUCGGAAAGACCAUGUAUAUCUUCGGAGGCUAUGAGCAGCUGGCUGACUGCUUCUCAAAUGACAUCCACAAGUUGGAUACCAGCAACAUGAUGUGGACUCUAAUCUCAGCGAAGGGCACACCAGCUCGCUGGAGAGACUUCCACUCGGCCACCAUCAUUGGGACAAAGAUGUAUGUAUUUGGUGGCAGAGCAGAUCGCUUUGGGCCCUUUCACUCCAACAAUGAGAUCUACUGUAACCGAAUUAAAGUGUUUGACACUGAAACAAACUCCUGGCUGGACUCCCCUCCUACUCCAUUGCUCCCUGAAGGCAGGAGGAGCCACUCGGCAUUUGGCUACAAUGGGGAGUUAUAUAUAUUUGGUGGCUACAAUGCACGUUUGAACAGACAUUUCCAUGAUCUCUGGAAAUUUGAUCCAGUAUCUUUUUCCUGGAAGAAGAUCGACCCCAAGGGGAAAGGGCCAUGCCCUCGCCGCAGGCAGUGCUGCUGUAGAGUGGGGGACAAGAUCAUCCUAUUUGGGGGCACCAGUUUACGUUGAGCAGAUUGGAAGCUGCUGUCUUAAGACACGUUGAGAAUCAACCAUUUCACAUUCUCUCAAGCAACAUGGGUUCUUCAAAUCAACCAUUUCACAUUGCUUGCAAGCAACACGGGUUCUUCAAACUGAACUUUGGUAGCGAGUAGGAGCUGCAGCAGAUCAGGAUUGCUGGGCCUCUCUCAGAGCUGGGGAGGGGGCUAGCUAGCCUGGGAGGGGCUGGUUCACUUCCUGCAGGCAGUUAUCAGGUGUGUUCUGGAGCUGGCUGGCUGGCUUGAUAAGAAGUUUUCCAGGAAGUCCUUGUAAAUGGAGAGCUCCCUAUAGUCUGGAUUGUCUGCUGGAGGCUGCAGGUCACCAGGAAGUGGGGAGAAAGAGCAGAGAUAAAAUUUCAGCACAGAGGAAGGGAUUAAAGAGGAGAACUGAAACAAUAACAGCAGGCAGCCCCUGGCCAGCUGCGUGGCAGAAGCGGCUGGCUCCUGGUGAAGGGAAAGUGAGGCCCCCCUCUAUUCUGCCUGUCCCAUCCAAAGGAACUGUUUUCUCCCUGCUGUGGCAGCUGCCUCAUUGUCUAAGUGCUAAAGGCUCUUGGAGGAGUCCUUUAGAAGCUGGGCUAGGCAGUCUGUGUAUCUGGUGCAAUGUGGUCCAAAUGCAUUCCUACACUCCAUCCAGAGACCUUCAGUCUGUGCUCUUUCCAACCCAGCCUGCCCCAAACGCUACAUGGAAAUGCAGUGUCCCCUCAGAUCUCAGACAUGUCUCGCCCACAUACAUCAAUUCCCUCCCACACUGCAUUCAUCAGAGUCCUAGCUGUAGCCUGCCUUGAGGCUUGUGGGGCUCGGGAUCCCGGGGCAGAGAGGAUGGACCAGGCUGUGAGUUUCUCUUCUCUGCAUCUCCCAGCCCUGCCACUGGCAGAUGUGAGGCUCCUAAGUCUGAGCCAGCCUGUGAGUUUCUACCUACCCCAGUGCUGCCAGACAUGAUCCCAUGGCAUUCCUGCCUGAAGCCAGUUCUGCACACUGCAGCCACAGCACUAAUACUUUUAACCAGGGUCUCUCCAAGUAAAAUGUGUCAGUGUAGUAUUGUGGCUACCCCAUGAACAGUGCAGAGCUCAGGCAGAGUUCCCUCUUAGCUCUGCCUCUGGGUCACAGGGAUUACAAUAUGGCCAGAUCAGAUUCCCUCCAAUAUAACGUUACAGCACCCCAAGGACCUUGGAGGUGAGUGGAGGGGUGGUCUUCCGUAAAUGUUCCGUUACAGGGUGCUUAUGUGUACCUAAGGGGGACAGGAGAACUCUGCUGGACCCUUCAAAGGGGGAAGCAUCCUUGUCUUAGGCUGUGUGUUUCCUGACUCUCGUGUGUUUAGGAGUGAGGUCUCUUUCGCAUGGAAUAUACAAUGUGUAACUUGAAAAGGAAUCUGGUAAGGAACCCAGGGCUUCCAAAUGAGCUUGGAUGCCCCUGCUUUUCCAUCCAGGAGCCCCCGCUCAACCAGUUGCUGCUGCUGCCUCAGAGCCCUCCCUUUCUGCAGCUUCCACUCUGCCCAAUCUGUCCAAGCGUGUUGGAAGCAGCUCAGAGUGCUGGCCCCGUGGGAGAUGGGGCCUGAAGCAGGAAGCUUUGCUGGUGUCUGGCUGAUAGUGGAUGAGGAUGUGUCCUGAGACUCCCUUUCCUGGGAGCUGUUCACACUGACUCUCAUCCCUUAGCUGCUCUCCUGGCCUUGAACUCGGGCUUCCCUUAGCCCCCUCAGUGUGUGGUGAUAAUUCAGCAGACAUGGGGCCUGCUGGCUGUCCCUCUGAAAGAUAAGGGAUGCAUUAGGGUUUCCUGUGACGUGGAUGUGAGAUAAGAUUAGAUUAUCCUGGCUAUGAAACCGCUACACCGUGGUGGGAUUAAAGGGCUCUUUCCUGAGCUAAGACAGAUGGGACCCAUCAGCAACAGGUACUGUCUCUGCCAAUGUGGCUGCUGCACUGAUCACUCAUGGCAGCAGGGUGGUAAGGCUGCCCCCUGGUGCUGGAGUAAGGACUGGGGAGGUUGUCUGCCUCCACAUUCUGUGUCUCCUCUGCCUUGGGUCCCUUACCAGCCCUCUGAUCCUCAUGCACAAAGGCUUGAGACGGGCAGAACCUGAGUGAGAAGUCGCCACUGAUGCUCGUCUGCCAGCUGAGAUCUGAAAGUUCCAUCUGUGUCACUUUAAACUAUCCCAUUCCAUGCUAGAGUGGGACUUGUGAGUGAACUCAGACUCUUAUGUACAAUUUUUAACAUCUGAUAAUAGCUUUCCACCAUGGAGAUUGUGCUGUACUUAUUCAGAGGACAGAUUGGCAGGGACAGUGUGUCCUGCAUUAAUGUGCCUCUUGCCAGUUGGGAGAAGGGAUUCAAGUCAUUCUGGCUCAUGUAGGUCUUGGCGUCUCUACUGGGAAUGCACCAGAGGGUGCCAGUCUGCUAGGAGCUAGCCUGAAAUUGGAACUCCUUUCACAGGUCACAGAACAGCCAUCAGAUGGCAACAACUUCAGGUUCCAAAUUAGUUGGGACUGGCUUGAAAGGAGUGGUACAGAGAUCACUUGGUACCAUUCCUUUAACCAGUCAGGCCUCUGAACUUGUUGAGCUGUGUCCGUUUUAGAAUGGAGAUGAAGUAUUUCUGACUGACGCUUACAGUGCCCCCCUGAUUAAGGCUGUAUGAGCAUUUCCAGCCUAAUUACCUUUUGUCAGUUUCUUAUAACUUUGUCCAGCUUCCCCCUUUUGGGAUAUGAAUGGAGCAGCUGAAAUGCUUCUUGAAAUAGCUUGUAACCAGGAAGAGAAGCUGUUUAACACCCAGAAAGUGAUAAAGGCACUAUAAAAGUGACUCGCUAAGAGCGGCCAGGGAAUCUUGGGAAGGGCAGCAGGGCCCUGCUUAUGCACGUUUCAGUAUGCUGCAAACCUUCAUCGCAAAUGUGCCUUCAUGUUUUCUAAUGAAGAACUUGGGGAGGUUCUGAGCUGAAGCCAAGCAAUGCCGUUCCUGGGGAGGAGCGGGCCAGGCCAAGGGCUGAUCUCUGCAUGAGGAGCAUUGGCACUUAGCUACUUAAGCAGGGGUGUCACACAUUUCACUAGAGUCUGCAGAAUCUAGCUGUUCGUUUUUAAGCAUUUUCCCUAAGAUGAUGGGCACUAGCAAUUGGUAGCUACAGAAUUGCAGUGGGAGGGGCAUCCCUCUCAUGGGCUCUGCAGAAGUCCUGGUAGCUACUAGCUCAGCAGCUGCUCUUUUCACUGGCCUGUAGCAAUCUGGAGCCUUUGUCUUGCACCAAAAGCACCUUUCUUUGGGGAGAAUAUUAGGGAGCUGUGUUUGAGAGUGCUACAGGAGCAGCCCUUCUACCUCUGAAAUUGUCUGGCUCUCUGCAUGUGCUGGUUUCAUCCCCAGGAGGGUCAGUGCUCUCUGUCCUGUGACUUGCAGAAAAAGAAAAUGUUUACUUGUUACCCGCAAAGUCUCUGCAGCUCAAGGAAUGGAAAUGGAGACCCAGUGACUCAGCUGCACACCACAAACAAGCAGCAAGCUUAUGAAGUCUCCCAGUUCUCCAGUUGAUUGCAUAUGUUCCAAAAACGUGGCAGGCCCUCAAGACAUCUAAGAAGACAGGACCCUCCCUGAAGACCCAUCUCCGGAGGAGGGAAUGGGGGACGAAUUUGACCUGAUGGAUCACUCGGACCUCUACAUCCUGGACUUCAGCCCUAGUCUGAAGACACUGUGUAAGCUGGCAGUGAUUCAGCACAGCCUGGACCAGUCCUGCCU